rnacentral:lncRNA from 1 species
AGAAAAAGAAAAUUCCUUUAUUGCCCUUACACAGUUUCCUAUAAUUUGGUAUAUAUUUAGAAAUGUAUCUUGAAUGCUAAAGAUAGCACAAGUAAUUGAAGGUGGACUGAAGGGUGACAAGUGACUUGAUGGGAAAGGAAAUUUCAUCUUGUCACUUAUUACCUGAAAUCCAAAUUUAUGCAAGACCAGCCAGAAGGCAAUUUUCAUUUUAUCCAGGAUAAACCAGAGCUUAAGCUCCCAAAGCCUGUCAUCUUGAAUGUCUCCAAUAGUCACUCAAAUGGUUGGUGCACUCUUGUUUAGCAUGUUUAUUACAAUUGUCAGGCUGUCUUGAUUUUUCUAAAAUAUUACACAGUACAAUCUCAUUGUUACAGGAUUUUCUAUUGAAUGACACUUCAGGAGAAAGACUUUGAUUGCUGAGCUACAAAGACAACUGUAUCUUCUUGUAAAGCAUACAGUCUUGGUGGUCCUACCCCAUGAACUGCCUGUCCCAGGACGGUUUUACGGUCCUGCACAGUUCAAUAUUAAAUGGAGUUUCUACCCUAGCGUGAAAGGAGGAAGAGAGAAAAUUGGCUCCAAGAAGAAUUCGGCUCCAAAAUUCCCCGAAUGUUAGAGUGAGACCAUCUGGAAUUCAAAAUGUUACUGUAGGUAACUGACAGUUGAAUAUCGGAAGACAUAGGAAAUAGAAGGCUAAGGUGAACAUUAUUUCUAUUCCUAUACUCAGGUGGUUAUGCUGAACAUGUAAAUAUUCUCCCUGCUGUGAAGAUUAGUGCAGCUGGCCAAAGAUGCUUUAUUUUAAAUAUGUGGAUGCAGGAAGAGAAAAGCAUCAGAAACACUGCAUGGGGUUCUGAAGACCUCAAAUGGACUGAGCCACACUACCAGCAUCCAUGGUUCUCCAGCUUACAGAUGGCCUAUUUUAGGACUUUUCAGUCUUCAUAAUUAUGUAAGCCUAUUUCCUUAAUCUUCUCUCAUCUAUCUACCUCUGUAUAUCUCCUAUUGGUUCUGUCUCUCCAGAGAACCUCAACUAGUACAAGCAGUAACCAGUCAUUUUCUUAUGAUUCUGAAAUUUGGGCAUGGCAAGUGGGUACAGUUUAUUACUGCUUUAUGUGGUGUUGACUGGGGCCACACAUGUGGAUUCAUUGAGUUGAGAAUUC